rnacentral:rRNA from 1 species
UUGACCUCAAAUCAGGUAGGACUACCCGCUGAACUUAAGCAUAUCAAUAAGCGGAGGAAAAGAAACUAACAAGGAUUCCCCUAGUAACUGCGAGUGAACCGGGAAAAGCUCAAAUUUUGAAUCUGGCGGUCCUUGCGGCCGUCCGAGUUGUAAU